rnacentral:rRNA from 1 species
AAUAGUGGACAAUGGUCGCAAGCCGGAGCCAGCAAUACCAGGGUGUGCGGCAGUCGGGAUGUAAGUAAUGCACUUUCAGGGGGGAAUAAGGUUCGAGAUUAAUGCCCUCGGGUGUCGACGUUAUCUACAGAAGAAGCACCGGCCAACUUCGUACCAGCAGCCGUAGUAAUAAGAGGGAAGGAUUGUUAAGAAGAAUUUUGUGAAAAACGCAAGCAGGUCCUAUAACCAUGUCUGUGAAAUCCCCCUCAUCACAUGCGAAUGGAAGAUAAUGGGCCCUGGAAAACGGUAGAAAGGGAAAGAAAAUUUGCGUAACGGUGGAAAAGUAGAUAUCUCAGAAACACACCGGCGAAGGUGGCGGCCUGGUCCGACUCUGACGCUCAUGUGGAAAGCGUGGGGAGCAAACAGGAUUCAUACACGGUAGUCCAUGCCGUA